rnacentral:tRNA from 1 species
GCUGGAGUAGCUCAGUUGGGAGAGCAUUAGACUGAAGUUGCUUACGCAACAUUCAUCUAAAGGCCCCCCGUUCAAUCCCAGGUUCCUGCA